UACGUAGGGGGCAAGCGUUGUCCGGAAUCAUUGGGCGUAAAGAGCGCGUAGGCGGCCCUGUAAGUCCGCUGUGAAAGUCAAGGGCUCAACCCUUGAAUGCCGGUGGAUACUGCAGGGCUAGAGUCCGGAAGAGGCGAGUGGAAUUCCUGGUGUAGCGGUGAAAUGCGCGGAUAUCAGGAGGAACACCGAUGGCGAAGGCAGCUCGCUGGGACGGUACUGACGCUGAGGCGCGAAAGCGUGGGGAGCGAACAGG
rnacentral:rRNA from 1 species